rnacentral:rRNA from 1 species
UACGUAGGGUGCGAGCGUUAAUCGGCAUUACUGGGCGUAAAGCGUGCGCAGGCGGUUUGCUAAGACAGGUGUGAAAGCCCCGGGCUUAACCUGGGAAUUGCGCUUGUGACUGGCAGACUGGAGUGUGGCAGAGGGGGGUGGAAUUCCACGUGUAGCAGUGAAAUGCGUAGAGAUGUGGAGGAACACCGAUGGCGAAGGCAGCCCCCUGGGCUAACACUGACGCUCAUGCACGAAAGCGUGGGGAGCAAACAGG